GGGGCAAGAACCAUUUCCUUCACAGGUUUUGUCACUUUGUUUUUCUGCGUAGAACUGGAGUCUUUAUUAUUAUUAUUACUAUUAUUAUUAUUAUUAUUUAGUUAUUUUAAAACCAGUGAGUGUUUCAAUGAGCCCCAGAUGAGCUGAGAGUCUUCAUAGCAAGAUGGUCCUUUGCUUCUUUUUUCCAACCUACUCUGAAAGUCCUUUAUAGAGUCUUGGUAGGUGUAGUUAGAGAAUUAGACUUUCUGAAGAAUUAAAAACCUUCCUGUAAUGUCCUCUUACUGUUUUCCCCUGGUGUCCCAUAACAUUUUAUUUUAAAAUGACAAAUUACAUGUCUAGGAAGUGAUGUUGUUAGGUUUUGGUGUGCAAUAGUAAAGGUGAAAAAACAGUGCAUAAAGGACCAAAAGUAACAGCACUGCUGCCAAGAGGUGCCAGCCAAGUAUCUGUUGCUGUAAACUUGGUGCUUUCUGUUAAUUAAACUACUCCAGCCACUGAAGGAUGAAUGGAAUAUUGUGGGGAAAGGGGAGGGAUCCUCAGUAGCAGGUUGCAGUCAAGACUCAGUCAUUGACUUCAGCGCUGGUCAUUGGCAUGUCUGGAGGAGCUGCCAAAUUAACCAAUGGCUCGGCAAUGCCUGUUAAUAUUAGAGAGGUGGUGUUUUCCUUUCUUGGGUAGAGGAGGGAAAGGAAAGGGCUGGGCUUUUUCUUCCCUAGGAGAUUCCUUUUAGCUCCUAACCCUAAGGGAGACUUUUCUCUAAAGCUUUUCUAAAUCCCCUUGAAGGAGAAUUGGAACGUGUAUGGCCUAUUAGGUAUUUCAGUUUAAAACUUUUUUGUUUUGAAGACCUUAUACUACCAAAUGCUGAAUGUAACUGCCAUAAAUUUCAGGAAAAAAAAGCCACGAACAUGAUCUUGUUUCCUGUCGGUGAGUUUCUGGUGAACACAGUGUUGGUUCGUAUCGCGCGAAAACGUGAGUGUUAUGUUGAGCCAAAUUCUCAGAGAAGUUUGGGAACUCUCUGCUGUGCUAAUGCUGAGUGCACAUGGGGAAGGGGAGCUAGAACAGGGGCACAGGAGGCUGGCCUGUGCAGCAGCAGUGCCUCAGGCCAGUGAAGGUGUGCUUGGCAUGAGCGUAACAUGCGUGGCCAUGCUGGGGUACAGAGCGUGCAGCCUCCGGCUGGCAGCGGGGCCGGGAGAGUGGGAGCAGCAGGAAAGGAGGAGGAGAAGAAUCCUCUUGUUUGGGUGACAGCUGGUGACUUGGUUGAGCCUGUACUACUUGAGAAUUAAUCUCUGCUGAGUUAGUAGUGUGUGUUCUGUACCUUUUAAUUGUGCUUUACCUCUAUUUAAAAGCUUUGUACUGCCUCUCCUCUUUGAAACUGGUAAAGCCUUUAUAAAUCUAAAUUAAUGAGCUUGCACAAUCUUGUAUACAGGAACCCCAUCUUGUCUCUAACGUGAUUAUUAAUGUAUUAUUCUGUAAAAACUGAUUAAAAGGAGAGCAGUUUAA
rnacentral:lncRNA from 1 species